rnacentral:rRNA from 1 species
UACGGGGGGAGCAAGCGUUGUUCGGAUUUACUGGGCGUAAAGGGCGCGUAGGCGGCCACCGCAAGUCGGUUGUGAAAUCUCUGGGCUUAACCCAGAAAGGUCAAUCGAUACUGCGGGGAUAGAGUGCAGAAGGGGCAACUGGAAUUCUCGGUGUAGCGGUGAAAUGCGUAGAUAUCGAGAGGAACACCUGCGGCGAAGGCGGGUUGCUGGGCUGACACUGACGCUGACAGCGCGAAAGCUAGGGGAGCGAACGGG